CACUGGAAAAAAAAACUGCUCAAACUGAACUAGAGUCCACCCCCGAUCUCGCUCCCGAGCCCAAACCAAUCCAUUCCCCUGGGCCCCCCUCCCGAUUUGGUCGCCGCCACAAUCAUCGCCGCUGAAUCCGGCGUCGCCCGCCCCCUUCUCUUCCAAUCUCCUGGUCUGCAGGGUAGACCGCCCACCAGAUCCCUCACAAAGAACCUGUCACUUGUGACAGAUACGGGCGACCAAGGGGUUUGACACGCCUCCUCGCUAGCCCUCGGUGCGGCGGCAGUCUCGAUGGAAUCCUGCCCUGGUGGGGGAUCCGAGGGAAGAAGCCGACGAGCACAAGGCGCUACUGCCAUGGCGUCCGAAGGGAGGCAUGGCAGGAAAUCUGAGGGAGGAAGUCUACAGGAAAUCCGCCAACGGCAUAUGUGAGCACCGCCUGCUGCUGUUGUUGUUGCAGCAGCAGUAGCGUGUGCGUGUCCGACUCCCACCUGUUUGGAUCGAACGACUUCUCGAUCCCUGGCUGCGUUGGGUAUCGAAUCCCAAAGUGAGAGGUUAACUCGUCGGCGUUGGACUGCCCUCUACACGAGCGCCAUCAGUACAAGGCUACAAGCUCAAGCCAUUGAGAGAUGAUUCAAGUCAUGCACUGAUGUUCAGAUUUCCAUUCAUUCCACACUGUUGAUAUUUAUGAUCCACCUUUGGUAUGUACAUCUCUGAAUGUACACAGGUCUGGCAUUCACAUACCUGAAGGAUGUGGGAUUUGAGCGUGUGUGGGAAGAGCAAAAAGAUACUUUUCUAAUCCCUUGAGCUGGACAUUUUUCAUGCAUAUAUUUUUCAAUAUGCUGGCUUCCAAGGAUGAAUAGGUGGAGCCAUGGCCUUCACAUAAAGACAUCGUCGUAAGAAAUUUAAGGUCAAUUAACUUCACCUUUUUGUAAUGCUUAUCAUGUUAAUGGGUGUAUUUUUUCCCAUGCAUGUUUGUAUAGUUUGGCCGAAGAUUGUUUUUUCCUGUUUACGGCCUGACUUUAAGUUUUGAACCCGAGCCAUAAUUUUAAGUGCGGCCCUGUCUCUGUAAUCACCAUGUCCCGCCCACCACUUGGUAAUGCAAAUUUUUGGUCCACUCCUAAAGGAAAUGGUCCAAUGAAUAUACAUGGAA